GCUGGGCAUGGUGGCGUGUGCCUGUAAUCCCAGCUACUGGGGAGGCUGAGGCAGGAGAAUUGCUUGAACCCAGGAGGUGGAGGUUGCAGUGAGCUGAGAUCAUAUCACUGCACUCCAGCCUGGGCUACAGAGCAAGACUCCAUCUCAA
rnacentral:SRP_RNA from 1 species